rnacentral:lncRNA from 1 species
AUAUAUAGUUCACUGAAAUUUUUACCAGCUGCUGAGUUGGGAAUAUUGAAGCAAAAAAUAGAAGCAAGCUGAGGUGGAGUCCUGGGAAAGCAUGAACAGGAUGCAGAAAUUCAGGAAAUGGAGCCAAAAUGGAGCCAAAAUGGAGCUGCGGGCUAGCCAGGCUCAGCUUCCAGGUUAGCAGAGAAGGAGAUGACAAAUUGGAGUGUGAUAAAGUAGCCCUGAACCUGUUUGAAGACAGAAGGGGGAAAAAAGAAGUCCAUGAAACACAGGAUGGAGGACACCAGAGGAAUGAAAGGGAUCUUCCAAGGCUAUAGAAAUGGGAGAUCCAGCCAAAAUAGUCAAGGUCAGCAUCAUCUUGUGCCCUGAAUUCCUGUUGUGCUUCUAACAAAACCUUGAGCUCUUCAGUUUCGCUUGUUCUAUAAUACUGAGCAGCUUCUCAUUGCAUUCACACUUCAUUUUAAACAUUCUAGAGUCUUCUCAGUGUUUUUUAUGAUUUAUUUAUUUAAAAGGCAAGGUGACAGAGGG